rnacentral:rRNA from 1 species
AGUGAACGCUGGCGGUAGGCCUAACACAUGCAAGUCGAACGGCAGCACAGUAAGAGCUUGCUCUUACGGGUGGCGAGUGGCGGACGGGUGAGGAAUACAUCGGAAUCUACUUUUUCGUGGGGGAUAACGUAGGGAAACUUACGCUAAUACCGCAUACGACCUACGGGUGAAAGCAGGGGAUCUUCGGACCUUGCGCGAUUGAAUGAGCCGCUGUCGGAUUAGCUAGUUGGCGGGGUAAAGGCCCACCAAGGCGACGAUCCGUAGCUGGUCUGAGAGGAUGAUCAGCCACACUGGAACUGAGACACGGUCCAGACUCCUACGGGAGGCAGCAGUGGGGAAUAUUGGACAAUGGGCGCAAGCCUGAUCCAGCCAUAGCGCGUGGGUGAAGAAGGCCUUCGGGUUGUAAAGCCCUUUUGUUGGGAAAGAAAAGCAGCAGGUUAAUACCCCGCUGUGCGGACGGUACCCAAAGAAUAAGCACCGGCUAACUUCGU